rnacentral:lncRNA from 1 species
AAGGCAACAAUAAGUAAUCUCCUGCAAAGGGAAGGCUGUGAAAGCAUCUUUUGAGCUGGUUAAAAAUGGGCAAUUAUCAAUUUCAUUUUGACAUGAAUGAGAAGGAGGAAUGUUCUGUACAUGCUUUAAUCUUCUAACAUAUAUUUUAUAAUAAAAAAAUCAAAACACCUUAAGAUAUAUUUGGUGAAUAUUUAACUAAGUCUGUACUAGCACAAACAAGUUUUCACCACUGAAAGAAUUAUGCCUCAUGUCUUUGCUUUAUCCUUUAGUUUUUACAGAAUGCUAAUGGUUUUGUUAGCAGACAAUGGUCUAGUAUUUAUUUAGGAAAAAAUAUGUCAGUUGGGAAGAGGCCACACCUGCAUGAAAAUAAUAGAGGAUGCAGCUUUCUCCAGAGUUGGGUCCGAGUGGGUGCUGCAAAAGGCAGUGUCAGUGAAGAAAAGCACCAACUCUUUGCCAGGGGCAGACUUUUUCCUGAGCAGCUCGAUCAGACAAGGAAAAUGGAGUGAGCUGAAGAAGACGAGAGGGACUCCACUGUGGAUUCAGGAGAGCAGCACUGGGUUGGCUCAGCCUUUUGAGGAGUGGAAGCAGCUUUUCAGAAAGCAGCCGAGUCCAGACUUCUGCAGGAGUGCAGGCAGAGGAGGCAGUACUGUGCAAUGUCAACAAUCAAAAUGGAAAUGCAGGCACUGUGAAGACCCGGACACAGCUUCUGUUGCCUGCACCCUAUGUGAAUGUGGUUUGGAAGCAGAAACAAGGCCUAAGUGAGGUUUUGCACGUUAUAUUAGAAUAUCUAAAUCUCUAAUAGAAAAAGAUUUUGGACAAAGAUGGACAAAGAUAACCACUAAGGUCUAGAAGGGCUUAAAGUCCAAUAGACUUUAAAGACUUAAAAAAAACAAUCCCCAAACUAAAAGACUUUAAAAGACCAAAAGACACCAAAUGUCUAGUGUGGGAACAUACAUAAUUUAAUUUAUACAAAUCAUAGGUGUUCAAUUUUUACUUUUAUUCUGCCUCUAUGAAUCUGUAGGUAGGAUUCUGAUGUCCUUUUUGAAAACCUGGACGGUGGUGCAAAAUAAACUCAUAUUCGGCUUUGAACA